GGUAGUGUGGCCGAGCGGUCUAAGGCGCUGGAUUUAGGCUCCAGUCUCUUCGGAGGCGUGGGUUCAAAUCCAACCACUGCCA
rnacentral:tRNA from 1 species